rnacentral:misc_RNA from 1 species
UCUGGUCCUGAAGUUUAGUAGUACUGUCCAUCAGAUGGAUUUCUUUAUGUAAUCAAGCUGUUCAAUGACUAAGUCUUUUAUCAAUCACAGAUCAGUUUAAUGAUAUCUGGAGAGCUGUACAGGCGGCUUUAGUUCCAGAGGUUGUGAAUUUUAAGUCACUGUAUACUAUUUUGGAGAAAGAUCAAAGAUUAGUUGUAGGAUUAGGGAUGAUUUAACGUUCCAUCUUAUGUAUACGGUAGAACCGAGAGCAAAAGGAGAAAAAAUAACAAAAUGUUCUGUAACCAC